CACCUUAAAGCUAGUCCACUCAACAAAAAACAAAGAAUAACAGAAAUAACCCCUAACAUAACAACCAAACCAAGCAAAACAUUUUUCCCCCUUAGUACGGGAGACAAAAAAGGAGAAAGGAACCAUAGAAAAAGUACCGCAAGGGAAUGCUGAAAGAGAAAUGAAAAAACUCAACCAAGUAUAAUAAAGCAGAGCUCAAACCUCGUACCUUUUGCAUCAUGAUUUAGCUAGUAAUAUUUAAGCAAAGAGAACUUAAGUUUAAAACCCCGAAACCAGGUGAGCUACUCCAAGACAGCCUAUAUAUACAGGGCUAACCCGUAUCUGUGGCAAUAGAGUGGGAAGAGCUUCGAGUAGAAGUGAUAGACCAACCGAACCUGGUUAUAGCUGGUUGUCAGAAAAAUGAAUAGAAGUUCAGCCUAAUUUAUUAUCACACCAGACGUGUAUGUACACACAAAGCCAAAGAUUAAGAAAUUAGAGUUAGUCAGAAGGGGUACAGCUCUUCUGAUUUAAGAAACAACUUUAUAAGGAGGUUAAAAAUCACUCUAUAAAGGCAUACACCCUGGUGGGCUUAAUAGCAGCCAUCCGAAAAGAAAGCGUUAAAGCUCAAGCAACAGCUAGCCUUACAUCCCUAUAACCCUUAUUUAAACCCCUAUAAUUAUCUGACCUUCCCAUAUAGCUAUGGAACAGAUUAUGCUAAUAUGAGUAAUAAGAGAGCCAGCCUCUCUCUUGACACAUGUGUAAAUCGGAACGAACACACGCCGAAAUUUAACGCCCCCAAACCCAAGAGGGUAAUGUAAAACAAGUAAACCACAAGAAAACCCAUCAAAAUAAAGCGUUAACCCUACACUGGUGUGUCACCCAAGAAAGACUAAAAAAAGAAGAAGGAACUCGGCAAAUAAAUUACGCCUCGCCUGUUUACCAAAAACAUCGCCUCUUGCACAUCCGAGUAUAAGAGGUCACGCCUGCCCUGUGACUAUAAGUUUAACGGCCGCGGUAUUUUGACCGUGCGAAGGUAGCGCAAUCACUUGCCUUUUAAAUGAAGACCAGUAUGAAUGGCACGACGAGGGCUUAACUGUCUCCUUCUUUCAGUCAAUGAAAUUGAUCUGCCCGUGCAGAAGCGGACAUAUAAACAUAAGACGAGAAGACCCUAUGGAGCUUUCAGACGCACAGAAGGCCUACGUUAAUUAACCCAAUCAACAGACCAAACCGAGUAGCACCCUUCUGAAUAUCUUUGGUUGGGGCGACUACGGGGAAACAAACAACCCCCAAGAGGAAUGAAAGUAAACUUUUAUAUUUAAGAACCACUAUUCUAAAAAUCAGAACAUCUGACCAUAUGAUCCGGUAAGACCGAUCAACGAACCAAGUUACCCUAGGGAUAACAGCGCAAUCCCCUUUUAGAGUCCCUAUCAACAAGGGGGUUUACGACCUCGAUGUUGGAUCAGGACAUCCUAAUGGUGCAACCGCUAUUAAGGGUUCGUUUGUUCAACGAUUAAAGUCCUACGUGAUCUGAGUUCAGACCGGAGCAAUCCAGGUCAGUUUCUAUCUAUGAAGUGACCUUCUUUAGUACGAAAGGACCGAGAAGGAAAGGCCCAGUUUAACUAAAAGCCUUCCCCUUACCUAUUGAAGUUAUCUCAAAUAGACAAAAGGGUACCAACCACACACACACCUAAGAUAAAGGUAUAU
rnacentral:rRNA from 1 species